rnacentral:rRNA from 1 species
UUGUCUCAAAGAUUAAGCCAUGCAUGUCUAAGUAUAAGCACUUUAUACUGUGAAACUGCGAAUGGCUCAUUAAAUCAGUUAUCGUUUAUUUGAUAGUACCUUACUACAUGGAUACCUGUGGUAAUUCUAGAGCUAAUACAUGCUGAAAACCUCGACUUCGGAAGGGGUGUAUUUAUUAGAUAAAAAACCAAUGCCCUUCGGGGCUCCUUGGUGAAUCAUAAUAACUUAACGAAUCGCAUGGCCUUGCGCCGGCGAUGGUUCAUUCAAAUUUCUGCCCUAUCAACUUUCGAUGGUAGGAUAGUGGCCUACCAUGGUGGCAACGGGAACCGGGGGAAUA